UGUGUGGUGUAAUUUAAAUAAAAAAAAAAAAGAGAAAAGAAAAGUUAAUGAGUGGGACCACAAGCAUUUAAAUGGUCAUGAGACCAUCUUUGCUCUCAUUUUUUUUUUUUUUUUUUUUUUUUUUUUCUCAUUCGCGUAAGGUUAUCUCUCCCGUCCAGAACUCCUUUUUUUUUUUUUUUUUCUUUUUUGGUUCCAAUCUUCAAGCUUUGAUUCCAUUUUCAUUACUUGCAGGAUUUAGGUGCCGUUUGAGGCAAAACGACGAGUGUGACGAGCUCUACGUUCUAGUACCAGCAAUUCCAGUUUUGCUACCUUCCUUGGAGCUCAAAAAUUUAAACCCAUUUCUAGGGUUUUGCCUAUUUUGAAGUCUUGGAAAGAAUCGGUGGACGGCAACCCACCUCAAGCUUGAGCGAUACUAGAAGCUCACUUUUGUGUCUUUGUAUAUUUCCCAUUAUUUUUGCAAAGCACUAAAGUAUAAAGGUAUAUAUGUAUAUUUUGCAAAACUUUGUCAUGUAACCUUGUUGAUGAACGGGAAGGAUAAUUUUAGUUAAAGUAAUUAUCGGUGUUAUUUGAUUGUGUA